GAUUCUUGCGUGCUCUCUCUCUCCCCAUCCAUCAUAUACAUGCAUGUUUUUUAAUACAUCCCCAAGCCCUUUUUUCAUCUGCUUAUGCAGGUUAGAAUCUGGGGCACCCUGGUAUCUUCCUGUAUCCUAUGCUCUUGCUGCCUACCGUUUUUGGGGUUCACUGACAAAUCCUUGCUGACUGGAGUCGAGGUGUGUGGAGUGGAUCACUUCAAUUCAUGCCAGGAGAAGAAUCAUUAGAUUCUAAAUGCAUUCGGAAGAGAGGGGGCAGAGAGACAGACUCGGAGGAUCACAGAGGCUCCUCAAAGCUGUUUUGCAAAGCUGUGGCAGAAAGCCUCAGAAAAGCACUGG
rnacentral:lncRNA from 1 species